GUACUGGCUUCGGCAGCACAGAUACUAAAAUUGAAAUGAUACAGAGAAGAUUAGCACGGUCCUUGCACAAGGAUGCCACACAAAUUUGUGAAGUGUUUCACAUUUUU
rnacentral:snRNA from 1 species